AACUUUUCGCAAUGGGCGAAAGCCUGACGGAGCAAUACCGCGUGGGGGAAGAAGGUUUUUGGAUUGUAAACCCCUUUUCUCAGGGAAGAAGAUCUGACGGUACCUGAGGAAUAAGCAUCGGCUAACUCCGUGCCAGCAGCCGCGGUAAGACGGAGGAUGCAAGCGUUAUCCGGAAUUAUUGGGCGUAAAGCGUCCGUAGGUGGUUAUAAAAGUCUGUUGUUAAAGCCCACAGCUCAACUGUGGAUGGGCAAUGGAAACUAUAUGACUUGAGUGUGGUAGGGGUAGAGGGAAUUCCUAGUGUAGCGGUGAAAUGCGUAGAUAUUAGGAAGAACACCAGUGGCGAAGGCGCUCUACUGGGCCAUAACUGACA
rnacentral:rRNA from 1 species